rnacentral:lncRNA from 1 species
CAUCGGAAAAGGAGUAACAGACAACACAAGAAGAAGAAUCAUAAUGAGUCAAGUAGGGGAAAGCAUUCUGAGUCAAGUUCAGAGGACGAUAAUAAUAACAGGCAUCGGAAAAGGAAUAACAGACACAGACAUUCACGGUCAAGUUCACCUGUGCCUGAAGAUAAGGAACACAGGAAGAAACAGUAUUCUGAGUCAAGUAGGGGAAAGCAUUCUGAGUCAAGUUCAGAGGACGAUGAUAAUGACCGGCAUCGGAAAAGGAGUAACAGACACAGACGUUCACGGUCAAGUUCACCCGAGCCUGAAGAUAAGGAACGCAGGAAGAAGAAUCGUCACUACCGUCAUCAUCACAGUCGGCACAAUCAUUCUGAUUAUUCAUGACAAUGAAGUUAUAUCAUCUAGCUGUUGCCUCCUAUAGAAGAGCUCCAAAACCCACUAGUGAUGCAAAAGCAGUAAAAGGAAAAAUGGUGAGCCACGUUAAACCUACAGUGUUUGUAUGAUUGUGAGUAGUAGACUGAAUUUCUGGUUGAAAAUAUCAUACUGUUGUUUUCUUUAAAGCUUUCUGCCUUUGCUAGUUUCCUGCAGGUUCUUGGAGACCAAUACUUGGAUUAAAUUGAUUCUAGUUUAGAUAGCUGGCCUCCGUUAGAAUUCUCACGCUGUUUAGUUAAAAAUAUGGAUUAUUAUGUAAUAGGAUUAUUUUAAAGAUACCGGAUUGUUUUGGGUCUUUUCUCCAAAUUUAUGAUAGUCUCUCAACACUUGGGUGAUCUUUGUAAA